rnacentral:rRNA from 1 species
AUUGAACGCUGGCGGCAGGCCUAACACAUGCAAGUCGAGCGGAUGAAGGGAGCUUGCUCCUGGAUUCAGCGGCGGACGGGUGAGUAAUGCCUAGGAAUCUGCCUUGUAGUGGGGGAUAACGUCCGGAAACGGGCGCUAAUACCGCAUACGUCCUGAGGUCGAAAGUGGGGGAUCUUCGGACCUCACGCUAUCAGAUGAGCCUAGGUCGGAUUAGCUAGUUGGUGGGGUAAAGGCCUACCAAGGCGACGAUCCGUAACUGGUCUGAGAGGAUGGCCAGUCACACUGGAACUGAGACACGGUACAGACUCCUACGGGAGGCAGCAGUGGGGAAUAUUGGACGAGGGGCGAAAGCCUGAUACAGCCAUGCCGCGUGUGUGAAGAAGGUCUUAGGAUUGUAGAGCACUUUAAGUUGGGAGGAAGGGAAGUAAGUUAAUACCUUGCUGUUUUGACGGUACCAACAGAAUAAGCACCGGCUAACUUCGUG